rnacentral:rRNA from 1 species
UACGUAGGGUGCGAGCGUUAAUCGGAAUUACUGGGCGUAAAGCGUGCGCAGGCGGUUUUGUAAGCCAGAUGUGAAAGCCCCGGGCUUAACCUGGGAAUGGCAUUUGGGACUGCAAGGCUGGAGUGUGGCAGAGGAGACUGGAAUUCCUGGUGUAGCAGUGAAAUGCGUAGAUAUCAGGAGGAAUACCGAUGGCGAAGGCAGGUCUCUGGGCAGUAACUGACGCUGAGGAACGAAAGCGUGGGUAGCAAACAGG